CAUCAGUAGUUUUUGGAUGUCAAAAUUGUUCUAUGAAAAAAUAAGUCGAUCUAAACACGAUUUUGGGGUUGGUUUCAUUAUUUUCCCAACAGCAACCAGUAAAGUCAACCAAUUCCUUUCUAACCUCCACAAUAAAUGAUAUAGCUGCGGAGAAGCCUUAAACAAGUUCACAACUUUCUCUGCUUUAGUAGAUAUAUAUGGACAAAGGUUGUUACAUGAAUUAUCUUCUUCGACUUCAACUACAAAGAUAUGACAGGGUCUGCACCAGAACAACAGCAGAUGUCACGAAACGAUCAUGUUCAGAAUUGCCAUGAGGAGAAGGGAUGCCUCUAUGCUUUUUUUUACACGCUUUGUUGCUGCUUUUGCUGCUAUGAGGGUUGUAAGUGCUGCUCGAAACGUACCUGCUGUUGUUGUCCCUAGAUUACCUUUUCAAAAGGCAUGGGUCAAGUUUAUAUGUUUCAUCAUUGUUUUUGUACGAAAUGAUGGUUCUGUGAGCUAAAAAGGAAUAAUCUUUGAAACACAGCUAUUUACUUCAAUGAAAUUUACUUUUAAUGA